GGGUCAGUAGGUUGGUCGUGCCACCGGUACGUACUGGUCUCACUGAUUCCUCCUUCCUGAAGAACCGUAAUGCCAUUAAUUUGGUGUUGCGGGGAAACAGGACUGUUACUUUGAAAAAAUUAGAGUGUUUAAAGCAAGCUAACGCUUGAAUACAUUAGCAUGGAAUAAUGAAAUAGGACGAUCGAUCCUAUUUUGUUGGUUUCUAGGAUUGACGUAAUGAUAAUAGGGUAGUUGGG
rnacentral:rRNA from 1 species